rnacentral:rRNA from 1 species
UACGUAGGGUGCAAGCGUUAAUCGGAAUUACUGGGCGUAAAGCGUGCGCAGGCGGUUUUGUAAGUCUGUCGUGAAAUCCCCCGGGCUCAACCUGGGAAUGGCGAUGGAGACUGCAAGGCUAGAAUCUGGCAGAGGGGGGGUAGAAUUCCACGUGUAGCAGUGAAAAUGCGUAGAGAUGUGGAGGAACACCGAUGGCGAAGGCAGCCCCCUGGGUCAAGAUUGACGCUCAUGCACGAAAGCGUGGGGAGCAA